GAAUGCCUUGCGCUACGCAGCUGUUGCAGAUAGUCGCCCCUUUCUCAAUAAUGCCCGGUGGAGUCAAGCCAAAAUGAGCAUCAAAGUCAGUAAAGGGUGGUGGCAAAGAGGCAAAAGGUGACCAAAACCAUAUAACAGGAAAUUCAUCACUUAUUGCAAGGUGUCAAUAUUGCAACGUACACUAGCAGGGGCGAGGCACUUGCACCAAAGCAACUGACGCUUCCUCCGACAGAGCUGCAUCAAAAGAGAGGAUGAAUCUCAGCACGGCAGGAGCACACUCAUACGCAC